AAGUCGUAACAAGGUCUCCGUAGGUGAACCUGCGGAGGGAUCAUUAACACGUUUUACACGUAUCAACCAAACGCGAACUCGGAACUGGAUAGUUCCAAUCUCCCUAGUUAUUUCAGCUGUUAGAGAAGGUUUUGUAGUGGGUAGAAGCGAAAGCUUUUACGGCUCUCUCUAACACGAGGCUCGACCUCGAGGCUGGAACUAUUAGGCUAAUUUUUUUACCGCUACUAAAACAAACCCCUUUCACCCUUUUCGUAACAAUUGACUGAUUGAAUGAAUGAGAGAAAUCUCUAGUAAUUCGGAUAUUCUAAACUAAAAGCACAACUCUUAGCAAUGGAUAUCUUGGUUCUC
rnacentral:misc_RNA from 1 species